UACGUAGGGGGCAAGCGUUGUCCGGAAUCAUUGGGCGUAAAGCGCGUGUAGGCGGCUCGAUAAGUCUGCUGUGAAAGUUCAGGGCUCAACCCUGAAAUGCCGGUGGAAACUGUCGAGCUAGAGUCCGGAAGAGGCGAGUGGAAUUCCUGGUGUAGCGGUGAAAUGCGCAGAUAUCAGGAGGAACACCAAUGGCGAAAGCAGCUCGCUGGGACGGUACUGACGCUGAGACGCGAAAGCGUGGGGAGCAAACAGG
rnacentral:rRNA from 1 species